rnacentral:lncRNA from 1 species
AGUCUUGGAAUGAAGACUUUAUGCAUCACUAGCUGUGUGCAUGUAUGGUGAGUGACCAAUCUACAACUCAAGGGCAGAUUGUUUUGUCCUUCCCUCCAUUUAGAAACUCUUCACCGGCCUGCUGCCUCCUCAGUUUCUUGCAGUCUAGUCCUGCUUUGUGGGCUUUCAAGACUUACUGAGCAGCAAUAGUGUAACAAUUUCCCAGUUUUUCUUCAAGGGGGAUACUGUUUCCCUUUCUGAGAAGAUAAUCAAUGACCCUCCAAGACUUGAGAGGAGUGACCUGAGUUUAGGAGAUAGUAGAACCCACCUAGAUCAUGGUCGUGCCAGCAAAUCCGUGUGAAUGCCACUGGAUUAAAAGAAGGAAGUUUAGUUGAAUGGUUACUACCCUCAUUCACAGGAGCAGUUAUCGGCACUUCCACUGAGGCAAUGGCAGUGGGAAAAGGAAGGCAAAUAUUUAUUCACCCAUCCAUAAACUCAUAAAAAUUGCCAACUUUACAGAGAAACUGUUUUUUCCGUUUUUGAAGAAAGCCUAGCUUGUCUACCUGGGAGCUCUUAUUCAAGCCUUCACUUAAGCUCUUGAAUCCUCCAACGAAGUGCUGCUCAAACCUUCUUGUCCCGAAUUACACUGUGUUCUUGGAUACACUUGCAUCCCA